AAAUCGCACGCAAUCGGAUCAAUCGACGGCAGCGACGCGAGGAACGAUUGUUCCCAAAGCACGGCUCGGGUUCGGGGCCGGGAAACGGCCCAAAAGCGGGCCCGAAGAUGCUGAAACCCACUCCGUGGGUCUUGCUGGUCGCGGCCGAACAGAGCAGCUCCGGCGGCUAGGGCGGCGGGGGAAGGCUGGCAGAGGGUGAGGGAGUCGCGGGGGAGGUCCGGCGAGGUUGGCGGUGGCCGGAGGUGGCCGGAGAUGGGCUGGUCGGAGCUGGAACAGAGACGAAACAGGGCUGGGCCGAGCUGGAUCGCGCGGCCUGGGCGCACGCGGACGGCGGCGAGCGCACGGGCGCGGGCGGCGGUGCGGCGGUGCGGCGAGCGGGACGAGCGGCAAGCGGCUGAGGGGCGAGCUACAGCUUCUGGUUCGCUCGGCGUGGAGAAAAGAAGGAGAAGAAGAAAGAAGAAAAGGGGGUUCGGUCGAGCGUGCAGAGGAAGAAAGAAGAGAGAGGAGAGAAAAGAGAGAGAUAAGGGUGUGGGGUUUUGACUAGUCAAAGAAGAGAGAAAGAAAGUGGGCGGUGGGGG
rnacentral:lncRNA from 1 species